rnacentral:ribozyme from 1 species
CCUCUCUUGCCCACCAGCGGGAUCGACCUUUCGGACCUUACACAGUACUUGGAGAUGCCCAAUGUUGUGGCAGUCGGCGCUUCCAAGCAAAUCGUUUCGGCCGAUGCA